UUUCCGUAGGUGAACCUGCGGAAGGAUCAUUCACAAUAAGUGUUUUUAUGGCACUUUAAAAUCCAUAUCCACCUUGCGUGCAAUGUCAGGGUUGAUUUUUCUCUCGAGAGGAUCAGCCCCAAACAUCAACUAUAUCUCAACUCUUUGUCUGAAAAAUAUUAUGAAUAAAACAAUUCAAAAUACAACUUUCAACAACGGAUCUCUUGGCUCUC
rnacentral:misc_RNA from 1 species